GUGUAAAGGCAUAAGGGAGCUUGACUGCGAGACCUACAAGUCGAGCAGGGUCGAAAGACGGACUUAGUGAUCCGGUGGUUCCGCAUGGAAGGGCCAUCGCUCAACGGAUAAAAGCUACCCCGGGGAUAACAGGCUUAUCUCCCCCAAGAGUUCACAUCGACGGGGAGGUUUGGCACCUCGAUGUCGGCUCAUCGCAUCCUGGGGCUGUAGUCGGUCCCAAGGGUUGGGCUGUUCGCCCAUUAAAGCGGUACGCGAGCUGGGUUCAGAACGUCGUGAGACAGUUCGGUCCCUAUCCGUCGUGGGCGUAGGAAAUUUGAGAGGAGCUGUCCUUAGUACGAGAGGACCGGGAUGGACAUACCUCUGGUGUACCAGUUGUCGUGCCAACGGCAUAGCUGGGUAGCUAUGUGUGGACGGGAUAAGUGCUGAAAGCAUCUAAGCAUGAAGCCCCCCUCAAGAUGAGAUUUCCCAACUUCGGUUAUAAGAUCCCUCAAAGAUGAUGAGGUUAAUAGGUUCGAGGUGGAAGCAUGGUGACAUGUGGAGCUGACGAAUACUAAUCGAUCGAAGACUUAAUCAA
rnacentral:rRNA from 1 species